GGUGCCACUGCUAGUGCUUCCCAUGAGCCCGCCAGGUUUUCUCCUAACGGACGUCGUAUUUUCACAAGGAUCAAAUGCUGAAGAGAUGAAGUUCCAACGGUGGAGAUUCAAGAGUGGAGAGCAGAAGUGGGGCUGCAGAGCUACCCAGAUCCCAGGAAAAACUACACGUGAGAAAAGGGGACUGACAGCUAUUUAAUAUCUACAAAAUCACUACAUGGUGCUUCCAUCUGUAGUCUUGUUGAACCCCUGUAUUCAUUCUCCUGAUAGGUAUUCCCCCCACUUUGCUCACGGUGAGCCUGAGGCUUAGAGAGGUUACAUAACUCAUCCAAAGCUAUGACGAGUAAGUGGUAGAGUUGGGAUUGGAAUCCAGGUCCACGUGAAUCCUAAGUUUGUAUGCUUCCCACCCUAUCAGGAGGAGACACACACCCCAUUCUGGCUCCCAGUGGGUUGGUGCCUUCAGGUUAGUGCAGCAGAAUUCAGUAGAGCAAAGGAUGUUCUCCAUAUGUGGGGUGUCUCCACUGCCUGGAUGCUGGCAGUGGGAUGAAGAGGUGAAGGAGGAGGGAGAGAAGAGGGAAGGAAGAGGCAGGUGGGGAGAGAACUGGCCUGCAGCAUCACUGAUCCAAUUCAACCAUGCAUUAAGCCUUUACUGUGUGCCCAGCAGUCUCUAGAGUAUGUAGGCAGUUCCCGAGAGCUUACCAGAACAUUCCAUUCCCUUCUCAUCAAGUGGAAACUUCGUGCAGCUUGUAGAAGGCCGACCAGGUGUCAGACCCUUGAAUGUACUCUUUACACAGAUUGACUCUGAUUCUCACAACUGUCAAGGUCAUGCGGUUCUCAAAUGACCCAGAGAGGAUCAGAAAGCCAGCUUGUAUGACGCUGAGCCAGGCUAAUUUCACGGUGCCAUUCCCUCCUCAUCCCAUGCCCAUCAUCAAGCAAAGGGGCCAUCCAGGAAGGUGACUUUGUCACCUGGUAAAGGAACCAGUGCUUUGCUGGAUCACAGCAGAAUCCCUUGCUCUCCCCUGGAGUUGUCCCAGCUGUGGUGCCAGCAUUGGUUCCAGGGACAGGGCUUUUUAUUUAAAUGGCCCGCAUAGGCUGCCGUCUCCCUCCACUCUGUCGGCUCUUUGGGAGCUGGACAACACAUCUCUUAUUUUUGUCUCUCUCAAAACUCUUAGCCGGGUAAUUAUUUUUGGAAUUGAAAUACUUGCUUAAACCCUCAAAUAAUGUAAGGCAGUAUAUGAUUGUGCCAAACCUACACUAAAUAUAGUACAUAAGCAUCUAU
rnacentral:lncRNA from 1 species